GACAGACAGUCAGACACACGCAUUGGUAAACUUACAAUGACUUUUUUUCCUUCGACUAGGCUCCAUGUUAAUGACAUGGGUUGCAGAAAAUCCAGCCGGAAGACAGAUGUUCAAGAGUGACAGCUCAAUCAUUGUCCUCUGCUGGGAAGUGCUCCUGCGAUAGCAUUCCGUGGUGUCUGGAUGUUCAAGGUUCUAUUUUUUUAAUGUCAUAUGGGAAACCUCUAUCCUUCUCAAUUAAUUAGAAACACAGAAGAACACUCAUCAAAUGCUCAAGAUAGAAGUCCAUCCUUCAUACAACAUCCAUACUCCUGGGAAGCCAGGAGAAAUAAGAGAUUCCGCAAUAUCCCGUGCGGGUCUCACUGUGUCGUCCCUGGAUGGCCUGGAAUUGGCCACGUAGAACAGAAUGGCCUGAAAUUCACAGAGAUCCAUUCUCCUGCCUCUGCUCCCCACCCUCCAAGCACUGAGGUGCGUGGCUCCAAAUCUGGCCUCAAACUGCUAUGGCUGUCGGAGGUACUCCAUGGUGAUUUCAGAGGAUCUCUUUUCUAAGCAUUCCUGGUGCAAGUUUCAAACAGAAAUGAUGGAGUGAAAUGAUGGAAAGACACAGCUUUCUCCUGGACCUCCCUUGGCAGUCUGGAGAUGAUUCAUCAGAAGUCUGGCUAUCCUCUACGCUGACAGCACAUAGAGGCAAGUGACAGAGGAGCCACCAUGUAUCCAGACACUGAAUGUCAUGAAGCACUGUGCCCUACGUGCUAAUACAGACACCAUUACGCAGCAUAGGGCUACUUUAUGCUACUCCACUGGGGACAAUUUGUUACUCAGAAGGAGUAAUCAUGACACCCAAUUUGGGGUAUUGAAUAUCACUGUUGCAUGUGAGAAAUUACUUUUCUACACUUUUCUGUUUUGUUUUGUUUUUUC
rnacentral:sRNA from 1 species